UACGUAGGGCGCAAGCGUUAUCCGGAAUUAUUGGGCGUAAAGAGCUCGUAGGCGGUUUGUCGCGUCUGCCGUGAAAGUCCGGGGCUCAACUCCGGAUCUGCGGUGGGUACGGGCAGACUAGAGUGAUGUAGGGGAGACUGGAAUUCCUGGUGUAGCGGUGAAAUGCGCAGAUAUCAGGAGGAACACCGAUGGCGAAGGCAGCCCCCUGGCUA
rnacentral:rRNA from 1 species